GAAACCCCGCUCAUUCGGAUUGGAGUCUGCAACUCGACUCCAUGAAGCUGGAUUCGCUGUAAUCGCGCAUCAGCCAUGGCGCGGUGAAUACGUUCCCGGGCCUUGUACACACCGCCCGUCAAGCCAUGGGAGUCGGGAGUGCCUGAAGUUCGUGACCGUCACAGGAGCGACCUAAGGCAAGACCGAUGACUGGGGCUAAGUCGUAACAAGGUAGC
rnacentral:rRNA from 1 species